UGUCGCCUACGGGGGGCAGCAGUGAGGAAUAUUGGUCAAUGGGCGGGAGCCUGAACCUGCCAAGUCGCGUGAAGGAAGAAGGUACUUAGUAUUGUAAACUUCUUUUGUCGGGGAACAAAGGCGGAGACGCGUCUCCGGAUGAGUGUACCCGAAGAAAAAGCAUCGGCUAACUCCGUGCCAGCAGCCGCUGUAAUACGGAGGAUGCGAGCGUUAUCCGGAUUUAUUGGGCUUAAAGGGUGCGCAGGCGGGAGAUCAAGUCAGCGGUAUAAUGUCGGGGC
rnacentral:rRNA from 1 species